CGAAAUCUAUUUAGGUAGAGCGUCACGAUUAGACUCUGGGGGGUAGAGCACUGAAUGGGCUAGGGGUCCUCACCGGAUUACCAAACCUUCUCAAACUCCGAAUACCCAGAAGUUAUGCGUGGCAGACACACGGCGGGUGCUAACGUCCGUCGUGAAAAGGGAAACAACCCAGACCGCCAAUUAAGGCCCCUAAGUAAUAGCUAAGUGCGAAACGAUGUGGAGGUGCUGAGACAAUCAGGAGGUUGGCUUAGAAGCAGCCAUCCUUUAAAGAAAGCGUAACAGCUCACUGAUCAAGCGCCUCUGCGCGGAAAAUGUAUCGGGACUAAAGUUAUUCGCCGAAAUUGCGGACUCGAAAGAGUGGUAGCGGAGCGUUCCGUAAGCCUGUGAAGGUGAACCGUGAGGUUUGCUGGAGGUAUCGGAAGUGAGAAUGCUGACAUGAGUAGCGACAAACAGGGUGAGAGACCCUGUCGCCGAAAGACCAAGGGUUCCUGCGUAAAGCUAAUCUGCGCAGGGUUAGCCGGCCCCUAAGGCAAGGCCGAAAGGCGUAGUCGAUGGGAACCUGGUUAAUAUUCCAGGGCCUGACGGAGGUGACGAAUGGUGGAAGUAGUUCCGGCUUAUUGGAUUGUCGGGGCUGCCAAGCCGUUCCAGGAAAUAACCCCGUCGUAUAGACCGUACCCCAAACCGACACAGGUGGUCAGGUAGAGAAUACUAAGGCGCUUGAGAGAACUCGGGUGAAGGAACUCGGCAAAAUUGUACCGUAACUUCGGGAGAAGGUAC
rnacentral:rRNA from 9 species